GCGCGGCUAAGCUCAGUCGGUAGAGCACGAGACUCUUAAUCUCGGGGUCAUUAGGUUCGGAAACACGUUGGGCG